CCUACGUGAGACAGCAGUGGGGAAUAUUGCACAAUGGGGGGAACCCUGAUGCAGCGACGCCGCGUGAGUGAAGAAGUAUCUCGGUACGUAAAGCUCUUUCAGCAGGGAAGAAAAUGACGGUACCUGACUAAGAAGCCCCGGCUACUUACGUCCUACCCGCCGCGGUAAUACGUAGGGGGCAAGCGUUAUCCGGAUUUACUGGGUGUAAAGGGGGCGUAGACGGCACUGCAAGUCCGGAGUGAAAGCCCAAGGCUUAAACAUGGGACUGCUCUGGAAACUGUGGAGCUGGAGUGCGGGAGGGGCAGGCGGAAUUCCUAGUGUAGCGGUGAAAUGCGUAGAUAUUAGGAGGAACACCGGCGGCGAAGGCGGCCUGCUGGACCGUAACUGACGUUGAGGCUCGAAAGCGUGGGGAGCAAACAGGAUUAGAUACCCCUGUAGUC
rnacentral:rRNA from 1 species